rnacentral:rRNA from 1 species
AUUGAACGCUGGCGGCAGGCCUAACACAUGCAAGUCGAAUGGUAACAGGAAGAAGCUUGCUUCUUUGCUGACGAGUGGCGGACGGGUGAGUAAUGUCUGGGAAACUGCCUGAUGGAGGGGGAUAACUACUGGAAACGGUAGCUAAUACCGCAUAACGUCGCAAGACCAAAGAGGGGGACCUUCGGGCCUCUUGCCAUCGGAUGUGCCCAGAUGGGAUUAGCUAGUAGGUGGGGUAACGGCUCACCUAGGCGACGAUCCCUAGCUGGUCUGAGAGGAUGACCAGCCACACUGGAACUGAGACACGGUCCAGACUCCUACGGGAGGCAGCAGUGGGGAAUAUUGCACAAUGGGCGCAAGCCUGAUGCAGCCAUGCCGCGUGUAUGAAGAAGGCCUUCGGGUUGUAAAGUACUUUCAGCGGGGAGGAAGGAAGUAAAGUUAAUACCUUUGCUCAUUGACGUUACCCGCAGAAGAAGCACCGGCUAACUCCGUG